rnacentral:rRNA from 1 species
AUGGCAACCUGUCUACUAGACUUGAUUAGAGAUCAUUGUUUGGAUUUUGUGGGUAUUCAGGAAACUAUGAAAAAGGAUUUUUUUUCCCCUAAAUUCUUGAGGAAAAUUGAUCUAGGGGAAUGCUUUGAGUGGAAAUGGAGCUCCUCAGUGGGCAAAUCUGGGUUUUUAUGUGGCACUAAGAAAGACACUUUUGAUGUUAAAAGUUGUGUUUUAGGUAAAUAUAUCAUGAAAACGGAGGUGUGGGAUAAGAGUAAGAAGUUGAACUAUUGUAUACUAGUGGUCUAUGGAUCCGCUCAUGAGGAGCAUAAGGUGGAAUUCCUGACUGAGCUCUCUGACAUGUGUAGCAAUAUUGCUUGCCCUUACAUUGUGGGUGGGGACUUUAAUAUUUUAAGAUAUGUCAGGGAGAAGAAUAAGAAAACCAGAACUAGCCAUGCUUCUGAUCUGUUUAAUUACAUCAUUAAUACCUUCUGUCUUAGGGAGGUUGAUAUGAAUGGAGGUCUGUAUACUUGGUCGAAUAAGCAGCAAAACCCUACCCUAGAAAAGUUGGACCGAGUACUCAUGUUCAGUUCUUGGGAGAGGCAGUUUCCCUUAACCUUUGUCAGAAAGUUAGUCAAGGAGAUUUCAGAUCACAGCCCUUUGACCCUGAAUACUGAU